GGGGGUUACCCCUUUGUACCUAUGCCACUAGCACCGGAGUAAGACUCGCUUGGGGUUCACCCAGCAUAGGGGGGUCACCCCUGUAUGAAUGUCUCUUAUGGCAUGUUGGGACACUCUUUCAGUCUAUGGGGUACCGAACAGGUGUCAGGUACGGUAGUACACUUAUUGCCACUUAGUGGGCCUCCACGUACGACUGGGGGUCACCCAGAAUUGUUUCAAUCAGUACCACUUAGAGAUUUCCUGGGAGUGGUCUGAG